CACGUAGGAGGCGAGCGUUGUCCGGAAUCAUUGGGCGUAAAGAGCGCGCAGGCGGCUUGGCAAGUCGGGUGUGAAAUCCCGGGGCUCAACCCCGGGACUGCAUUCGAUACUGUCAGGCUAGAGGUAGGUAGGGAGAUCGGAAUUCCUGGUGUAGCGGUGAAAUGCGCAGAUAUCAGGAGGAACACCGGUGGCGAAGGCGGGUCUCUGGGCAGUAACUGACGCUGAGGAGCGAAAGCGUGGGGGAGCGAACAGG
rnacentral:rRNA from 1 species